rnacentral:SRP_RNA from 12 species
CAGGACCUGGAAGGUAGCAGGGGCAGGGAGGGAAGCGGUGGGCGGAG